GGAGUCGGAGGAAGGAGGGAGCCUGAGGGAAGGAGGAGGGGGCGGUUAGCGCCAGCCGGCGCCGCCGUGGCCCCGCCCUCACGCUCUGUACCGGAGUGGGGCUCGUCUUCCACCUCCCCGGCGCCCCAGCUUUGCUUCCGUCCCACGCGCCCCUAGGUUCCGUGCGCACGCGUACCUGGCUCGAUCUUCCCUCUCGCGCUGACUACAGGCCGUGUGCGCGCACCUACGCACAGAGCGACGCGUACGUCCACCUGCCUGCCUUACAAGGCGUCUUGGGGGGCUUCUUCCUGGCCUGUCCGCGCCGCGCAGGCGCACGCCCACGCAGCGCCUAGACGCCCGACCCGAGCGUUCCGUCUCCUAGUAACCAGUCGCGAGCCCCCUUUUCCGAGAUUCAUUUUUUAUUCCCUGCCUGUGGCGGCCGCACCUGGAUAGAACGCGCAUGCGCAAGGCUGUCUGUCGCUGCGCCUCCUACCUUCAGCUUGGAACACCUGCUGCUUUGCGGCAGUGGCUUUGUGCCACUUUUCCCAGGGCUUGGACGUCAUUCUGGACCCACGUUCGGUGAACCGGUUACUCCCAGAACUGCAGCCAGGGUCCAUUUUGAGGGAGCCUUCCAGGUCCAGUCCUCCCGCUGCAGCCUGCUGGUAGCAAGCCGACCUGUCCGGAUGAUAUAGAUACCAGGUUUUUACAGCAAUUCUCUGAUGACCUUGAUAUGGUAGAACGCUGUGUAUUUCAAAAGUAGGCUCUCAUUUGAGGAGACUAACAAUUCCUGUUUUUGCCAGCAAUCAAGUUGAAGAAACGUUUCCACUACUUAAAAAGGUGCCUCCAAAUUACUUUCAUAUUUAUUCAGCUAUCCCAAUGGGAUUUUCACUUAGUAAAUCUGCUACUCAGGUAUCUGCUAUGCAUAUGGAUUCAAAAGUGGAUGAUCACCUACUACGAGGGACUGAAAAAAGCAGGCUGGAACCAAUGACUCGGUUAUUUCAAAACACCAAGAAAAUAGGAUUAGAAGACACAAAUCAAGAAAACGUUACAAGGAUUGAAGGGACUGGCACAGGAUCUCUUUCUGAGAAAGCCUUGGGUUCAGUGGUAUACGUCAAAGAAAAUGAUGGACUAGAAGUGACAGAUGUGGAAUGAAGCCAUGUGUACAUAUUACCAAUUUGUACAUAUUGCCUUUUAUUAACGGGGUAUUGAAAGAGAACUUAAUCUUAUUAGGAAACCCUAACAAAAUGAUGGAAGACUAUUGCUUUAUUUUUCACUAUUUAUCAGUCAUCUUACCCUGCAUUUUUUGAUGAUGCCUAUUCAAAAGGCAGUUGCUUUAGGGAGAAAAAGCCUUCCAAAUUCAAAGCAGAUUUCUCUGAUAUUCUAUCUUUCUUAAAAAUGAGAGUUUUUUAGUAACACUAUCUGAAUGGCACCAAAACAUUUUCAUUUUAAUGUAUUUCUUUAACAAGUGGUUAAGGCCGGGCACGGUGGCUCACGCCUGUAAUCCCAGCACUUUGGGAGGCCAAGGCGGGUGGAUCAC